CUAGGUGCCCUCCUCCCCAGCCCCGGGUGCCAGGAUCCUGGUCUCUCCCACCCCUGCUGGCUCCUGAAAUUGCCACCGUGCUUCUUGUACUGAUUGCCUCCCCUUCCGGUGGGGGUAGGGUACCGUCUCUUUCAGCUGGAUGCCGGCGGUGCUUUCCUGCGUCGCUGCUAUGGAGACAAAGCACAGGAGAGGUGGUCUCCAAGCAAACCCUGAAAGUGACUCCGUGGAAAUGGAUUCUGGAAAUAUGUUCAACUGUAUGCUUCAAGAUCAUGCCUGACCCAGCCUUGGGAGUGGGGACUUGAGAGAUCACACCGGGAAGCUCUACUGAGAAGUGUUCAGUCUCGGGUCCUCUUACCAUCAGAUAGCAUGGAGAUGUAAGAUCCCUCAGCAUCAUGCUACUGCUUCUCUAGUCCACGUAUUUGUUUCCACCCAAGACCCUCAUACAGGGACUGUAGAUGCUAUUAGCCUGAAUGCUGGGCCAACAGCCUUCUCCUCUCUUUUAUAUGAGUAACCUCCAACAUUCGUAAGUUCAGGGAGCAUUGCCUAUGGACAGAAGAUUUACCUACAGUUUUCUAUAAAGGAGAAAGUAUGUAUUGAUUACCCAUGUCCUGGGUAAUAAAUUCUUGUCAUUGAUUGCAACACCUUAUUUUACCAGACGUCAAACAGCUUUGUUUUACUUUGUGCCAUGAGAGUACAGCGUUCUCGCCAACCGUGACCGAGCUAGGUUAAAAUAAACUUACACAUGAUCCGGAGCCUCUUUUCUUCUCAUUUAUGUUGUGAAAGCAGUGGCAGUGUGUCGUCCACCGGAGGUGAAUAGGCAAGCAUAGAAACA